rnacentral:lncRNA from 1 species
AAAAUGAUGACAUUUCUAGUGAUGACGAGAAUGUCGAUGAAUCCGAUUGAUGUAUUUUCGAUUUUGUGUAGUUUGUUUUAUGAAUAAGGUAAUGUGAGAGUUUGUUUUAUGAAUAAGGUAAUGUGGGAGUUUGUUUUGUGAAUAAGAAAAUGUGGGAGUUUGUUUUAUGAAUAAGUAAAAGUGGGAAUUGUGGUUUGGAAUAUAUGAAUUAGAAGAUAAGGAAUUGUGGUUUGGAAUGAAAAUAAAGAUAGGGUUUGGAAUAUAUGAAGUAUAAGAUAAAGAAUAUGGGGUUUGGGGUUUCAGAUUUUAGGGAUUUAAACGGAAUACUCGUUAACUCCUCGUAUGUUGACGUCGAACUUACGACGAAGUCCUCGUUGAUUCCACGUAGGAGAGAUUCGUCGUAAAUACCACGUAGGAAAGAUUCAUCGUAAAUACCACACAAAGUAAAUGAUGAACGCGGCCCACUUUAAUUCCACGUAGGAUGGAAUCGUCGUAAAAACCUCGUAACAUAAAUCAUCGUAAAUACCACGUAAAGUAAAUGAUGAACUCUGCCCUCUUUAAUUCCACGUAGGACGGAAUCGUCGUAAAAACGACGUAACCAAAAUCGUCGUAAACACCUCGUACUGUAAAAA